GGGGUGGGGUGGAGCCCUUGCGCAAGCUUGAGAAGCUGGCCUUGGUUCACCGCGUCUCGGGGACCAUAAACUCUUCCGCAACCGACCCGUCCGCACGGAUCUCAGGGAAGGCCCGGCGCGCCACUAGAUUCUCUCGCGUACUCCGCAGUUGCGCGCGCUUUACCGCUACAGGGCAACUCGUUCGACAGCCGUCAUGGACAAGAGGCCUUCUGUGAUCUUGAUCGUUACGAUCAUCUGGCUAGCCGUGGUGCCGGCGACUGUCGUCUCGGCGCCCGAAGCCGUCAGCCGUGCCACCAACGAACUGGGAAUGGUCCUCUACCGCAAGGUGGCCGAGACGGACCCCAAGGACAGCAACAUCUUUUUGUCUCCCGUCAGCGUGGCUGCCAUUCUGGGCAUGGUACAGCUCGGCGCCAGAGGUCGAACGCGGCAGCAGAUCAACGCAGCGCUCGCCGGAGGCACCGACUCCAACCGGCUGAUCAGCAGCGGCGAUGACGAUGACCUGGCAGCUGGAUUUGGGGAGCUGUUCAAAGACCUCAACGCGGAGAAGGGAUACGAGCUGCGUAUCGCCAGUGCCGUUUUCUUGGCAGCAGGCCUGCCCAUAUUCGAGCGCUACAAGCGCGACCUGGAGAAGCACUUCGCCUCGGGCGUCUACUCGGCCAACUUCGCCAACAACGCCCGCGAGGCCGCAGACGAUGUCAACGCGUGGGUGCGCGACAUGACCGAGGACCGCAUCCCCGAGAUCAUCGAAAGGCCUCUACCACCAUCGGCACCCAUGCUCGUUCUGAAUGCCGUGUAUUUAAGGGUCUGUGGCAGACUCCUUUCAAGACGGAGGACACUAUUACCGGCGAGUUCUUCAACGAGGGCGGCUCUCGCGCUGUUGCAGUGCCGAUGAUGCGCCAGAAAGGCGAGUUCGUCUACGCGCUCAGUGAGUCCCUGGACGCGCACAUUCUCGAGCUUCCGUACGUCGGCGACCGCGUUGACCUGGUCAUCGUGCUCCCGAGGCGCAAAGACGGACUGGCAGAGCUCGAGCGUAAGUUCAGCCUUGAAGCGGCGCGCCAGCCUCUGGCGUCGGCACUGCCUCGCAAAGUGGACGUGUGGCUCCCUAAGUUCAAGCUGCAACAGGCCUACAGUCUCAAGGGAGCCCUGCAGUCGCUCGGAGUGCGUGACGUCUUCAGCGCGAGGGACGCCAACUUGACGGGCGUGUCGUCGAAGCGGCCGCUCGCCCUCGACGAAGUUUUGCAUAAGGCCCUCCUCGACGUGGACGAGAAAGGCACCGAAGCUGUGGCGCUCUCAUCCGGCAUCGUACGUCACUCCAAGACGCCCGGAGGCGAGGUCGAGUUCAAGGCUGAUCAUCCCUUCCUUUUCUUUAUCGAGGACGUGAGGACCCAGACGCUGCUCUUCCUGGGACGCCUUCAGCGUGUGUGAAGGACAAAGUGUCUGAGAAAAAACAAUAAGAAACUGUGACUUUUAAGUGCACGAGUCGAGCUUUAGCAGUUUGUUAGCAAAUUUUGCGCAUACAGACCAGCUCAACGAAUCUUAAAAAAACCCAUGAUUUGCAUCUUCGGCGCGUGCUUGUCGUUUGCCGCUUGUGUUUCAACGUUCCACACGAGGCGCAAGGUGUUUACGAAUAAUCGCGCUUUCGCUGACGCCGACUUCCGAAGGCGCAGGAAUUUUUACGAGCCCUGCGUGGCUGUUAGUCAUAGCCGUUUGCGUAUGCAUUCCAAGAUCUAAAAAUGCUGGCUGGCAGAAGCGCACAUUGAAUAUUUCGUGCACGUACUGCGGCCAACGUAGUUGUCCUUGAUGUGAGUUUGUAUUUCUCGGGCGUCGCUGCAAGUUUGGCACAGUACCAAGGAUACGCCGCAUGAUGAAGCCAUGUGGGGGUAUCACCGGCGAGCAGCGAGCCGGAAUAAAGUUCCUAUUGCCAAGCGGCAGAUGAGACAGGACAAAGGAUCAGUGACAACCAGUGACGACAAGCUUUAAUCACUAUCAUCUACGCGCGUACUUGCGGGGUGCCGAGAAAGUUGUCGCUGUGAAUAAAAACUGAGCUGUUACGCUGUUUUAUCUAUA